rnacentral:tRNA from 1 species
GCCGCUGUAGCUCAAUUGGUAGAGCAUAGCACGCAAAAUGCGGAGGUUGUGGGUUCGGUUCCCACCUGCGGCA